CAGUUUAAACCAAUUUUGACUUCUGAAUUUCAGCAAAAUAGAGCACCGAUCAAGUCUACUUAUAAAGCUUAAUUCAGGAUAGCAUGCUAGUAUAUUGUUUUAACUUACGAGUAAGAAUAAUGGCUAUAUGCAAUUCUGAAUUCAUCCUGGGUAAGCCAUUUUAACAGGCCUGACAUAGCAACAUUGGCUCAGCCAAUGACGUGGGUUUAGGGUGGGACUAUCAUUUUGUUUGACCAAUAGCAGAUAAGAGAAUCUUUCGGGAAACCUGUUUAAAAGUUACAUUUUUACCAUGCAGUUCAUUUUGGUGCUAUAAUGGAGAAGACAUUAUACACUUCAACUUUUUGUUUUUACUAUAAUAUUUUUUUAACAACAACAUAGCAUGAUCAUGGGCCUUGAUUUUUAUUAUUUUAUUCAUGCUUGUGUUGUGAGUUUAUGUCGUGUCACCAACAGGAUCUCAGAGUGUCUGUGAUAAAACUGAUCACAACAUUAUUAAGUCUCAUCCACCACAACCAGCACAGGUCAGAACAUACUGUAUAUUUGCUUUCAAGUCAUUCAUUCAUUUUAAUUUUGAUUCUAAUUACGAGCAUUCAACUCACAGGGAUGGCAACCAAUGACCCUUGCUAUAGGGGCUGAUGUGAAUCCUGCCAAACAUGCAUGAAAGACAUACAAAACUGAGACAGGGAAUGAAGAGAUGGGCCUGUCCGCUGCUGUUCCACUCCCAGCCUGGGAGGGCACUGUGGCACCAUCAAAACACUACAGGGACACAUGAAAGGUCUCCUGCGGGCACAGAUGAUGCUCAGUCGCCAAGCAACCAAGAAGCGGCAAGCUCAGCAGAGGGUGCUUUAGGAAAAGUCGAGGGAAACAGAAGAGGGUGUACACCUCUUAUCUGGAAGGAGGACAGAGGGUUUGUCUUGUGUCCAGGCCAAUGCAACAAAACAUCUUCUGUGAUGAGUCUGAAGGACAGAUUCUGGAUGUAAGGGAGCUGUUGCAGCCAAGUCCACAGGUGACAGACCCAAACAUGGGAGAUACAAUGAGUGGCAAACCACUAAUGAAAAAUGGAAUUAAAAGACCAGAAAUGUAGAGGUCUGGGGAAGGAAUGUUGUCAUAAGAAUUCCCUGAAUUCUCCAAGGAGCAGAACAAAUCUGGACAAAGGUGUGACAGGAACUUUGCAAAGGAAUUGCAAUGCAAACAUGUUACUUUGGCAUAGUGAAAACGAGUAUAGACAUUACUCUGGUUCCUUCAUGAAAAUAGAUCUACAGGAAGAAUGGGAAAUUACCAAGAGGCCUUUACAGCCAGACUCCGAAAAGCACAGUUAGUCUGAGAUUACAUGAAGGAAUUUUUCAAUCUAAUUUGUAAUGCAUCUGUGGUAUGUUGUCUAUUACUCAGACAACAUUAACUCAUCCUUCGGUUUAUAAAUGAUAGGGAAAUGUGAUUACAGUCGUACACUUCUAGCAAGCAAGCAGGCCAUACCUGUUUAUAAUUCCUGUGGAGUCUGCAGAAUUCAAGUGCAAGUCAACAGUGCUUUACAGAUACACUUUGAUCGUUACAUUUCUAGCCAGGUGUAUAUUGGAGGAAUUUAAUCUGGAAUAGUUCUUUAACAGGAUUGAUAGUGUAACCAGGGCUGCUGAAGCAAAGGUUGCAAGUUCAAUCCCGAUUUUACAAAUUUGCUUGUCCUAUGAUGCUUGGGCCUAUUUGAGCAUCUCAGACUGCAGGGAAACACCUUGGAUGCACAGCCAGUCCAUCGCAAGUCUAACAAACACUCCCACAUGAGCGGCAGUUUAUUGAUUUCAAUUCACCUGUCUCACAUGUAUUUGGAUUGUAGAGGAAUCUGGAGCACCUGGAGGAAACCAACACCAAGAAAAAACUCGACACAGAAUGUCCUGCUGACUCAAGAGUCUCGAACUUGGGGACCUUCUAGUUGUGAGAAGGCAGUACAACAAUCCCAAGAACCAGAAUCUCAGAUGUUUAAGCCAUUAGAUCAUACUCCCCAUGCAACCAAAUUAUGUAACCCAUUUCCUCCCAUUAUUUUGUCCAAUAUAAAAAGGUGUUCCAUGUAAUGUUUACGAUGAUUUUCUAUCCUGUAGGCAUUGGUCUUUUUCAACUAGGCAAAAUGUUUGAGAUAAAGGAAUAUCCCACCCAAAAAUUUUAAUUUGUUUAAAAUUUACUCAGCCCAAACAAGAUUUCAAGUUUCUUUAUCAAAACAGUUCUAGAAAAAAAAUGUACAUCUCUUGCCCACCAAUGGAUCCUCAGCCUAAGUAAAUCUUAUGCAAUUUUUUAUUUUUGGGUGAACUAUCCAGACAGAUAUGUUAAAGUCAUUCCACAAUACUUUAUUCCCCCAGCCUAAAAACAGGAAUUUUUUUUUUUUAAUAAAACCAUCAGGAAAAGGUUGAAGUGGUU
ensembl:lncRNA